rnacentral:rRNA from 1 species
UACGGGGGGGGGCAAGCGUUGUUCGGAAUUACUGGGCGUAAAGGGCGCGUAGGCGGUUGGAUAAGUCAGCUGUGAAAACCACGAGCUUAACUCGUGGCCUGCAGUUGAGACUGUCUGGCUUGAGUGUGGGAGAGGAGAGUGGAAUUCCUGGUGUAGCGGUGAAAUGCGUAGAUAUCAGGAGGAACACCGGUGGCGAAGGCGGCUCUCUGGUACGUGACUGACGCUGAGACGCGAAAGCGUGGGGAGCGAACAGG